GAUGAAGAACGUAGCGAAAUGCGAUACGUAAUUUGAAUUGCAAAUUCAGUGAAUCAUCGAGUCUUUGAACGCACAUUGCGCCCCCUGGUAUUCCGGGGGGCAUGCCUGUCCGAGCGUCAUUGCUGCCCUCAAGCACGGCUUGUGUGUUGGGCCCCGUCCUCCGAUCCCGGGGGACGGGCCCGAAAGGCAGCGGCGGCACCGCGUCCGGUCCUCGAGCGUAUGGGGCUUUGUCACCCGCUCUGUAGGCCCGGCCGGCGCUUGCCGAUCAACCCAAAUUUUUAUCCAGGUUGACCUCGGAUCAGGUAGGGAUACCCGCUGAACUUAAGCAUAUCAAUAAGCGGAGGA
rnacentral:misc_RNA from 1 species